UUCGUAGGCGGCUUGUUUAGUCCUUCGUGAAAGCCCCAGGCUCAACUUGGGAACUGCGCGGGAUACUGACAGGCUUGAGGGCAGGAGAGGCAAGCGGAACGUUGCAAGUAGCGGUGAAAUGCAUUGAUAUGCAACGGAACACCAAUGGCGAAGGCAGCUUGCUGGACUGCUCCUGACGCUGAGGGAGAAAGCCAGGGCAGCGAAC
rnacentral:rRNA from 1 species